rnacentral:lncRNA from 1 species
GUAUGGCAAUGUUAAAUUCUUGCAUUCCUGAAUGAGAUAGGACCACCACCCUAUAGGUAGGAGAUAUAAGGCAUUAGUCAAUUAUUAUUACAUAAGAUUGACUGUAUAGUUUGCAUUAUAAAUAUGUAGGCAUAGAUCGUAGUUGGAUGUCAUUGCACGAUAAGUUCUGUCCCGAGUAUAUUACGUGUAUGAUAUUUUUCAUAAAUGUGGCAUUCAAUCACACUAGGGA